rnacentral:rRNA from 1 species
GGAAACUUGCCUCAAGAUGAGAUCUCACUGGGAACUUGAUUCCCCUGAAGGGCCGUCGAAGACUACGACGUUGAUAGGCUGGGUGUGUAAGCGUUGUGAGGCGUUGAGCUAACCAGUACUAAUUGCCCGUGAGGCUUGACCAUAUAACACCCAAACA